rnacentral:rRNA from 1 species
AAAAACUGAGGUGGUGUAAGAUGGGCCCGCGUCUGAUUAGGUAGUUGGUGGGGUAGAAGCCUACCAAGCCGACGAUCAGUAGCCGACCUGAGAGGGCGACCGGCCACAUUGGGACUGAGACACGGCCCAAACUCCUACGGGAGGCAGCAGUGGGGAAUAUUGCACAAUGGGGGAAACCCUGAUGCAGCGACGCCGCGUGAGUGAGGAAGUAUUUCGGUAUGUAAAGCUCUAUCAGCAGGGAAGAAAAUGACGGUACCUGACUAAGAAGCCCCGGCUAACUACGUGCCAGCAGCCGCGGUAAUACGUAGGGGGCAAGCGUUAUCCGGAUUUACUGGGUGUAAAGGGAGCGUAGACGGAUAAGCAAGUCUGAUGUGAAAAUCCGGGGCCCAACCCCGGAAUUGCAUUGGAAACUGCAUAUCUAGAGUGUCGGAGAGGCAAGUGGAAUUCCUGGUGUAGCGGUGAAAUGCGUAGAUAUCAGGAGGAACACCAGUGGCGAAGGCGGCUUGCUGGACGAUGACUGACGUUGAGGCUCGAAAGCGUGGGGAGCAAACAGGAUUAGAUACCCUGGUAGUCCACGCCGUAAACGAUGACUAC